GCCUAUAGUGACGCAGUUCUACAUUAGAAGGAGGUGGCCAAGAAUUAGCAGCUGAUACUUUCUACAUGAGACAAUCCUGGACCCUCAAUAGGAUGCAGUGUAUGGUUGGCGCAGCAUUAUCUGUUGCUUUGAGAAGUGUCUUGUGGACAAACUUCAUCAUUUGGAGGUUCGGGAUGAAGAGGAGCAGAUGAAUCACACAACAGAUAUGAAUGUGUCUCAAGAAAUCAACAAGAUCCUAGCUUCAAGGCAACAGAACACGGACCUCAUGGCUACAUUGAUUAAUCAGCUGUAUGAAUACAUUUGGAGUCACAACGUGUUAUGGAAACUACAUACGAAACACUACAGAACCAAUGAAUAUUCAGUUGAACGCAAUGUGGAUUUUAAAGACUGCAAUACUUAUAUAUUGCACAUAUCUGUGCAAUACUUGCCAUAUAUCUACCUCACUGGGCUAAGAAAUUUGUUACAAUUAGUCAUGUGACAUUAAUUCACCUGCAAGUUGUUUUCAAAUUGCUUUGCUAUAGGACCAGGGAAUUUCACAAUCAGAGCCAAGGAAAUGGUAAAUCCUGCUUUAUUUGUUUCCCCUCAUUGAUUAAUUGUGUUUUUUUUUAUUUUUCAUUAUUUUAACCACUGCUUCCUGCAUCUAUGCUGAUUCUAUUAAUACUAUCUAUAAUUUCCGAGCAUGGUCUCAACUGUAAUUUUAAAUUGCAUUGUUAUGAAUUUUUCACAAAUAUUUCAUUGUUUAUGGAGAAGUGGUUGUCUAAAUCAGGCUUAAAGCCAUUGAUUUCAAAAGGUUUUUCUUGUUUAAGUACCCUCAUAAUAUAUUAUGCCAGUUGUGUGAUUGUGUGUAGGUUUGUGACCUUAGUUUUCCAUUUCUUAAGGUUUUGAUUUCAAUUGAUCAAACAAGGAAUUCUUAAAUAAGCACUAGGCACUUUCCUACAUGAAUGAUCUUCUGUAGAAUCUUGUCCUCUGAAAUCAGUUUCAGAAUUAUAUUUACAGAAGGCUGUUAAAACUUUGCCUGUUUGUCUUCCUCGCUAAAUAGAGAUUGUUGAUGCAAGAUGCACCAUAAAAAAUACAUUAUAAACAUUUGGAUGAGCAAGUCUCACGUUUUAUUCAACAAUGAUAGCAACUGGUGUACAAUAAUUGGUUUAGCAAUAUUCUUAAGCCGAUAUGAGGGAAUAAGCUGACUUGGUUGACAGCUUCAUUCCAGGCAGUUGGAAUUGUGUUUGUACGAAAGAAUGCUCUUCUUCCCCAAAAAGACCCUUGCGUGUCAUUAAAGGGAUAAAUAUUGUCUA